UACAGAGGUCCCGAGCGUUGUUCGGAUUCAUUGGGCGUAAAGGGUGCGUAGGCGGCGGGGCCAGUCUGAUGUGAAAUCCCGGGGCUCAACCCCGGAACUGCAUUGGAUACUGCCUCGCUUGAGUCCGGGAGGGGAGAGCGGAACUCCUAGUGUAGCGGUGAAAUGCGCAGAUAUUAGGAAGAACACCGGUGGCGAAGGCGGCUCUCUGGAACGGUACUGACGCUGAGACGCGAAAGCGUGGGGAGCAAACAGG
rnacentral:rRNA from 1 species